UACGGAGGGUGCAAGCGUUGUCCGGAUUUACUGGGCGUAAAGCGCACGUAGGCGGCUUUGUAAGUUAGAGGUGAAAGCCUGGAGCUCAACUCCAGAACUGCCUUUAAGACUGCAUCGCUCGAAUCCAGGAGAGGUGAGUGGAAUUCCGAGUGUAGAGGUGAAAUUCGUAGAUAUUCGGAAGAACACCAGUGGCGAAGGCGGCUCACUGGACUGGUAUUGACGCUGAGGUGCGAAAGCGUGGGGAGCAAACAGG
rnacentral:rRNA from 1 species